UGGGGAAUCUUGGACAAUGGGCGCAAGCCUGAUCCAGCCAUGCCGCGUGAGUGACGAAGGCCCUAGGGUCGUAAAGCUCUUUCGCCAGGGAAGAUAAUGACGGUACCUGGUAAAGAAACCCCGGCUAACUCCGUGCCAGCAGCCGCGGUAAUACGGAGGGGGUUAGCGUUGUUCGGAAUUACUGGGCGUAAAGCGCGCGUAGGCGGACUGUUAAGUCGGGGGUGAAAUCCCGGGGCUCAACCCCGGAACUGCCUUCGAUACUGGCAGUCUAGAGUUCGAGAGAGGUGAGUGGAAUUCCGAGUGUAGAGGUGAAAUUCGUAGAUAUUCGGAGGAACACCAGUGGCGAAGGCGGCUCACUGGCUCGAUACUGACGCUGAGGUGCGAAAGUGUGGGGAGCAAACAGGAUUAGAUACCCCCGUAGUCC
rnacentral:rRNA from 1 species